UACGUAGGUGGCGAGCGUUAUCCGGAAUUACUGGGUGUAAAGGGAGCGCAGGCGGGACAGCAAGUCAGCGGUGAAAAUUACGGGCUUAACCCGUAAACUGCCGUUGAAACUGUUGUUCUUGAGUGGAGUAGAGGCAGGCGGAAUUCCGAGUGUAGCGGUGAAAUGCGUAGAUAUUCGGAGGAACACCGGUGGCGAAGGCGGCCUGCUGGGCUCUAACUGACGCUGAGGCUCGAAAGUGUGGGGAG
rnacentral:rRNA from 1 species